GCUGAACGCGGAGCUGCGGCGGCUAUGCUGUGGAGCGGCUGCCGGCGUUUCGGGGCGCGCCUCGGCUGCCUGCCCGGCGGUCUCCGGGUCCUCGUCCAGACCGGCCACCGGAGCUUGACCUCCUGCAUCGACCCUUCCAUGGGACUUAAUGAAGAGCAGAAAGAAUUUCAAAAAGUGGCCUUUGACUUUGCUGCCCGAGAGAUGGCUCCAAAUAUGGCAGAGUGGGACCAGAAGCAUGUGUGCCUGGAUGAUUGAUAGCUUCGGAAAUGAGGAACAGAGGCACAAAUUUUGCCCACCGCUCUGUACCAUGGAGAAGUUUGCUUCCUACUGCCUCACUGAACCAGGAAGUGGGAGUGAUGCUGCCUCUCUUCUGACCUCCGCUAAGAAACAGGGAGAUCAUUACAUCCUCAAUGGCUCCAAGGUACUAGCGUGCGUCCUCCCAGAGCACUUUGGAGAUUGUUCCCAGCUUCCUCCUGACAUCCUCUGGUUCCUUCACAUCCGCGGGUUAAUACUCCCAUAGGAUUUUUAUGUGUUGGGAAGAGAACCUCUGACCCAUUUCUCUUUCUUUAUUCUCACUGUUUGUAUCUCUCCUAAUCUGAUUCCAGAUCAUUUCGUUGACUUUUGUCUAUCCUUUUUAUACUCUCUUGGACUGCCUCUCUGAUCUGCAGUCACUGCAGCGACCUUUUACCUCACCUCAGUCUCUGUGCCAUUGGACCUUAUUGUCAGUCUCUGUGCCAUUGGACCUUAUUGUCAGUCUCUGUGCCAUUGGACCUUAUUGUCAGUCUCUGUGCCAUUGGACCUUAUUGUCAGUCUCUGUGCCAUUGGACCUUAUUGUCAGUCUCUGUGCCAUUGGACCUUAUUGUCAGGAGGACCCAGUGGUGUUCCCAGACGCUGUGAGAACUCAAGCAUUCCCUGGUCCUUUUGCACCCCUUUUACCCCCACAGGCCUUCAUCAGUGGUGCUGGUGAGUCAGACAUCUAUGUGGUCAUGUGCCGAACAGGAGGACCAGGCCCCAAGGGCAUCUCAUGCAUAGUUGUUGAGAAGGGGACCCCUGGCCUCAGCUUUGGCAAGAAGGAGAAAAAGGUGAGUGGCUGUUGGACAGGAAACAAUUCAGGUUAUGAGACUCUGCCACCUGCCAGCCCAACUCCUGCUCUAUUUCAGAAAACAGGUUUGCAUACUUGCUAACCUACCUUUGAAGCAGUUGCUUCUAUUAGGAUUUUCAACAGGAGCAUAUGAAAUACAACAGGGCAUUAUUAAACACUA
rnacentral:lncRNA from 1 species